UUUCCUGUGAAAUGCGCGCGUAUUGGGGUUAAUUAGUGGCGAUUGCAGCGCCUCAGCGGUGAUAAACGUAAUAUACUUCCUACGAUUACCGAAAUAAUCAAUAUUUCUCAUGAUCGAUUUUUAAGUGGCAAACAUGGCGGAAAGGAGCACCUGUAAACCUUUACCUCAUCUGUAAAGAAGGAAGCGUUGUCCAGAAAGAAGUAUCUUCUAGCAGUUCUCAGUAAAACGUAGAAGGCCUUGGAGCUCGAAAUUCGAAGUAAAAACAACAACACGGACACAAUGUUUAUGUUCAUCUUACUUAUCGUGCAUGUUCGGACAGGAUCACCCCAUCUCCUACUGUUUCUCAAUUGAAGGACAAGACGUGUGGCGGAGAGUCAUUCGGCUGUCGAAUUUCGUGACAACAACAUGCAUUACGUCGCAUUUGGUUAUUUCUUGGUUGCAAAGUUAACACGAACGAUCAUUAAUUAAUAAUCUGAUGAACUUUCACGGAAAGUUGGUAACAUUUUAUUUA